UACGAAGGGGGCUAGCGUUGCUCGGAAUUACGGGGCGUAAAGGGCGCGUAGGCGGAUAUUUAAGUUGGGGGUGAAAUCCCGGGGCUCAACCUCGGAAUUGCCUUCAAAACUGGAUAUCUUGAGUUCGGGAGAGGUGAGUGGAACUCCGAGUGUAGAGGUGAAAUUCGUAGAUAUUCGGAAGAACACCAGUGGCGAAGGCGACUCACUGGCCCGAUACUGACGCUGAGGCGCGAAAGCGUGGGGAGCAAACAGG
rnacentral:rRNA from 1 species